GUCUUUUUGUGUUUAAUAAAAAGUCUGACCUGCCCUAUGUUUAAAUAAAUGGCCGCGGUAUAUUGACCGUGCGAAGGUAGCAUAAUGAAUAGUCCAUUAAUUGUGGUCUGGAAUGAAAGGUCUUACAAGGAAUGACUUUUUUAUUUUUAUUUAUGAAUUUAAAUUUUCAGUAAAAAUGCUGAAAUAUAUUAGGGGGACGAGAAGACCCUAUAGAGCUUUACAUUUUAAUUAUUAUUAGUGGUAUUUUAAGUAGUUAUGUGUUUUGUUGGGGCGACAAUAGGUUUAAACACUUAUUAAUUAUUCUAUUUUAUAGGUUUUAUGAUCCAUUAUUAAUGAAUUAAGACUAAGUUACCUUAGGGAUAACAGCGUAAUUUUAUCUUAGAGAUCUUAUCGAUGAUUAAGAUUGCGAC
rnacentral:rRNA from 1 species